GGGCUUGACAUCCCACGAACCUGCCCGAAAGGGUAGGGUGCCCGCAAGGGAGCGCGGAGACAGGUGGUGCAUGGCUGUCGUCAGCUCGUGUCGUGAGAUGUUGGGUUAAGUCCCGCAACGAGCGCAACCCUCACCCCUUGUUGCCACCGGGUUAUGCCGAGCACUCUAGGGGAACUGCCAGCGUCAAGCUGGAGGAAGGCGGGGAUGACGUCAAGUCAUCAUGCCCCUUACGCCCUGGGCGACACACGUGCUACAAUGGCUGGUACAAAGGGAUGCAAGACCGCGAGGUGGAGCUAAUCCCAAAAAACCGGUCUAAGUUCAGAUUGCAGUCUGCAACUCGACUGCAUGAAGGAGGAAUCGCUAGUAAUCGCGCAUCAGCACGGCGCGGUGAAUACGUUCCCGGGCCUUGUACACACCGCCCGUCACACCACGAAAGCCGGCUGUACUCGAAGUCGCUGAGA
rnacentral:rRNA from 1 species